rnacentral:rRNA from 1 species
GACGAACGCUGGCGGCGUGCCUAAUACAUGCAAGUCGAGCGAAGUUUUUCUGGUGCUUGCCCUAGAAGAACUUAGCGGCGAACGGGUGAGUAACACGUAAAGAACCUGCCUCAUAGACUGGGACAACUAUUGGAAACGAUAGCUAAUACCGGAUAACAGUAUUUCUCGCAUGAGAGAUAUUUAAAAGUUGGUUAUGCUAACACUAUGAGAUGGCUUUGCGGUGCAUUAGCUAGUUGGUGGGGUAAAGGCCCACCAAGGCGACGAUGCAUAGCCGACCUGAGAGGGUGAUCGGCCACACUGGGACUGAGACACGGCCCAGACUCCUACGGGAGGCAGCAGUAGGGAAUCUUCCGCAAUGGGCGAAAGCCUGACGGAGCAACGCCGCGUGAGUGAAGAAGGAUUUCGGUUCGUAAAGCUCUGUUGUUAGGGAAGAAUGGAUAUGUAGUAACUAUACAUGUAAGAGACGGUACCUAACCAGAAAGCCACGGCUAACUACGUG